UGGCCCAGGCUUGGCCCCCUUGGCGCAGCAUCAGGCGCCCCAGAUACCUGACACGUCUCAUUUGAUCUCAGAUUCAGCCUGCCCUUUCUGUGGCCCCCCAUGGUGGGCGGAGAGGGGGCUCCCCGGGGCCUCCCUGCCCCUGUUCGGACCCCUAGGCCAACCCCGUCCGUCCAGCCCUGGCCAAGACAUCUGACCCCAGUGGUCUGGCCCCGGCCUGCUCCAGGACCAAAGCUUUGAGUUGCCCCUACAGCCACAGGUGGUCGAGCGGCAGGCCCCCAGCCCCGGGCGGCUGCCUCCAGCCCGGCCCCUGGCUCAGAGUGGGGAGAACACGGCUGAAGAAGAAGGGCUGGGUGUCACUUUUCCUCCUCCAUUUGUCUUGGAGGCUGACACGGGAGAAAACCCCAAAGGACCGAGUGCGCCCUCACAGUUUCACCACAAGUAUCCUGACCGGGCGUCUGGUGCCGAGCUGAUAGUGCAGGCUCCGGGCCGCAGCCCCGCCGGAAACCGCGCUGCCAGCGGUUGGGGGCCGCAGGCCCAGACAGGAAACGCCCCCAGGCGUACUGCCGGGCCCAUGGCCUCGUCACAGGCCUGCUGCCUUGGACCAGGCCCGGCGCCAUUUUGAAGCUGGGCUGGGCUCUCGCCCUCUGCCCUGAGAUCUGGAGACUGGUCUGUUACCUGACUGGUCAGGCUUGGGAGGCGACAGGGAGGGAAGAGGGAACCUCCAGACUGGGCUACACCUGAACCACAGCCUCUUCCUACCAUGGCCAAUCCCUCCAUGGUGCCUCCAACCCAGCCCUUUAAAUUCUCAGCUUCCAUCAGGCUGCUGGCUCCGUGUUUACUGUGACAGGCUGAGAACUGAACGCAGGGAACUCAGAAGUGAACAAAAUAGUGGUAGUAUUGGGCAUCGCGAAAAGCCCACAGAAUAGGGGCCAUCGUCAAGAGGAGUAAUCACAGGGUCUGAAGGAUUUGCAUGUGGGGAUGAUAGGAAGGAGGACCCGGGUUCCAGCCCCCAUUUUUGACUUCCGUUUAGGAGAUGGAAUCCAGAAAGAUUCGUUUUGGGGUUUUUUUUCUGCCUUUUCUCCCCAAAUCCCCCCAGUACAUAAUUGUAUAUUUUAGUUGUGGGUCCUUAGUUGUGGCCUGGGGGCUGACGCCUCAGCAUGGCCUGGUGAGCGGUGCUGGGUCGGCACCCAGGAUCCGAACUGGCGAAACCCCAGGCCCCUGAAGCAGAGCGUGCGAACUUAACCACUCGACCACAGGGUGGCCAGGAAAGAUUCGUUUUGCUGUGAGAAAGACAGGAGCCCAUUUAAAUGCUGAUGGGAAGAAAAGAGGUCACAGGGAGGGAAAGAUCGCAGGUCCAGGAGAGAAGGGGCCAGUAGAGAGAGGGAGUCCCGAAGAACAAGAUUGGAUGGGAUGGUGGGCUGAAGGGGGAGAUCUCAAGGGAGAGCUCUGAGCCAGUGGUGCCUUCCACCGGCACUGGGAAGGAAACCGCAGAAGCCAGUUCAAGCUUCACCUCCUGGGCAGGCUUCCCUAUCCCCUGGGAGGCCCCUGCCUUACACCGUUUGGCACUGUGCUCUCUGAAGUGCAGUGGACUGCUUGCCUCCCUGGACUGGAGCUCACCCUCAGCAGAGUUAAAGAGGCAGCACGUCAACGCCUGUGAUUAACAAUAUCUUUACUGUGUGUCAGGCACUGUGCCUAAAAGUCACCAGGGAUACGGUAAGUAGGACAACGUCUUGUGUGGCUUUUAGAAAGACAAGAAACUAGAAAUAAAUCAUUGCAGGUAGUGAUGAAUGCCAUGAAGGAGGAAGCCAGGAGCUGGGGAGGGCAUCAUAGCAGAGCGUUGGCUGUAAGGCUCAGUGAAUGUCCUAAGUCCUCCUGGUCUCUUCCCCACCUGGUCUCUUCCCCACCCCACCCCUGGUACCCUGGUACCAGGCCCUGGUUCUGGCAGGACCUCCUACCUCCAAGUCAGGUUUCAUGGCACACCUUCCGUCCAGGGUGGCCCCCACUCCUCAGCUCCCAGCUCCCUCUCCUCGAGGCCUGCAUCCUGGCACCCUCUCAGUCCUGGCCCUCAUUGUCUUGUCCAGCCCCUGCCCCCUGCCUUUGCAUCAGGGCAUGGUCAUACCCAUGCCACGCUCCUGACGGGGUGUGCGACUCACUCGAGACUCGGGGCUUAUUGUUUCUCUCCUCUGAGCCUGACAUUGCUCACCUGGAGAUUGAGGACCGUACAAUAUGAGGCCUGGAAGGACUGAGUGACGUGAUGUAAGUAAAGCCCUCCCACGGUGCUGGCUCGAGAAAUGGCAUCUCUUCCCUCAGCAGAUACUAGAAUGAUCAGCAUAACCCUUUUGUUGGAAGAGUGUAGCUGUUUACAAAAUGCCUUUAUAAGUGUCUGGUACUCAUUGGUUUAGGGGGCAGAUGGGGGUCUCGGAGCACACUGGGUUGAGGCCCAGGCGAGGAGGCUGGGGCGGGGUCCUAGCCCUGCAUGCAGCCCCUGGGCACCUUGGGCAAGUCCCUUCCUUCUCCAGGACUCAAGUCUUCCUUCGCGAUGACAGAUGUCUGAGGGCCCUUCUGAAAUGGCCACUGGGAUGCUGGGGCCAUUCAUGCUGGGAGAGCCCCAGGAGCAGCCUCAACUGAGGAGGGAGGAGGCAAGGGCCUUUUUUUGGUUGUUUUUUUAUGGCCAAAUUCUGGCUUUUCCGCAGUGUUGGCCUGGCCUUUCAAGGGGAGAGGCUGAGCCUGGUCUUUACAAGGCGGGACUCCCCUUGGCUCCUUGUUGCCUUGUCGGUGAGCACUGGGGGUGCUGUGAUGUGGAGCAGGUCCUUCCUGACCGUGCAUGACCCAACUAGCAGGGUGGGGGCUCUCUCUCUGUCUCUGUCUCAUAGGUACCCUCGUGAGGGCCAGAGAAGACACACAGCCGCAGGCACGCAGCCGUUCUAACGUUUGGGCAUGCCUGCCCCUCCCACAGCCAUGGUUCUCACCAAGGCUCACAGACAGACAUGCACAGAUGGACACAUAGAUGUGCAUAUCCACUGCUGGGGCUACUCACAUGUGCGAGAUGUUCGCUGAGUGCCCACAUGAGCACACAUGUGCUGUGUGCUGCCCCAGCACUGGGGACACUGGGGGUGGGAGUGGGCUCAUGGAGCCACAGACACACUGUUGUAAUAACAACUGACACUCAGGGCACUUACAUGGCGCCAGGUACUGCUCAGUUGCUUUACACAUCCGGACCCUCAUAAUCCUUACAGCUACGCUAUCAGUGGAGACUAUCGGCUCCCUUUAUAGCCAAGGGAGCUUGCACAGCUGGUAGGCUCUCACCCUCUGGGCCACAGUUCCUUGCCCACAGACUUUCUCCUUCAUGUGCACGCAGGGCAUACAGGCUGCUCCAGGGGCACCCUCACGCACAGAAACACUUCUCUGCACCCUCAGGUCCUCUGCAUGGUGCUACCACAGGAACCAGCUCAUCACACAGCUCUUCCGCAACCUGCUUCUGUGUCCUGGCUUUUGAGGACUUCUCUUCUGGAGAGCACUGUUGUUUUCUCAGUCUCAGCCCCAGCUCCUGUCCCCCUUAGGGCCUGGCACAAAAGCCCCCAGGCCUGGUGCCUCUCUUCACCAGGUUGGAAGCCCAGACCAAGGCCUGGGUUUUGUGCUCAGCUCAAGGCCUGGAGUGGAAAAGUAAGGACUGGAAGCCAGAGAGGAGAAGUGACUCUUCUGGGACCACACAGCCAUGGGGCCAGUCUGGGGCAAGGCCCGACGUCAGGGACUUGCAGAAUGACCGUUACUUGGUGCAGCACGCACCGUCCUGGGAGCUGCAGCCGGCCUGGUCCAAGAUGGGAGCCCUGCUCCAAAGCUGCAGUCUGCUCUGAAAUAUCUGUGUCCCCAGAGAGCAACCAUGCGCACUGUUGGAAAGGAAAGACGGCGGGUGUGGUGCCUGGGCGAGGUAAGAAAAACCUUGACUCAGAGGGCAGUCUCGGGAGAAAGCCCAGGCGGGGCAGCCUGAGUCUCAGAGCCUGCAGCGCGUGAUCUCUCGGCAAAGACAUAGCUGCUUCCGCACUCCAGCCUCUCCCUGCUCUCCACUCCCCAUUCUAUCCAGUGAACAGUCCCUUUACUUGAUUUACAGUCUGUUUGUUUUUUACAGUUACUUUUUUUAAAAAAAUUUAUUUAUUUAUUUAUUUUGAGGAAGAUCAGCCCUGAGCUAACUGCUGCCAAUCCUCCUCUUUUCGCUGAGGAAGACUGGCCCUGAGCUAACAUCUGUGCCCCUCUUCCUCCACUUUAUAUGUGGGACGCCCACCACAGCAUGGCGUGCCAAACAGUGCCAUGUCCACACCCGGGAUCCGAACCAGCGAACCCCGGGCUACCAAAGCAGAACAUGCACCCUUAACUGCUGCACCACCGGGCCAGCCCCAACAGUUACUUUUUAUUUAGGCAAGUGCAGCUGAUUUUCCAUUUAUGGUAGGGAUACAAAGUUUCAUUUAAAGCUAAAUUAGACUGUAAGACUGACCUGAGUAGGGAGGAGGUGAGAUAGCAAACAGCUCAGCCUCGCCAGCUCUGGCAGGCUGCCUGGGGUGGAUGGCUGGCCUUCCUGAGCUGUGUGACCAUGGGCAAAAUACUCAACUGCCUCCGUUUCCCCAUCCAUAGAAUGAGGGUUAUAUUAAUUCCCAACUCUGAGAGUCAUUGUUGGUGAGAGGCUCAAAUGAGUUGACAGGGGCAGGGUGCUGGCCCACAGUAAGCACUAGGCAGGGGUCUGUUGUCAUGAUGGGAACAGUGAGACUGGGGGAUGGGAGCAUAUGACACAGGAUGCAAAGGUGGGACUUGAAUGCUGGCAAAACACCCAUCUAAUUCAGCUGCCAUUUCAGAGGGGAAAUUGAGUCCCUUUUGCCUUAUACCACAUUCCGCUGGAUCCAAUGGAACACAGGGGUCCUUAAGAGGUGGCUCUUUGGGAGGCUGGCUCAUGGGCUGACUCCGGAAUCAGUGGGACCUCUGAGCCUCAGGGUUUCAUCCGUAGAAUGGGAUAAUCCCAGGAUUGCUGUGGGGGUGACAAAGACUCUCUCCCUGACCAAACUCUAGUCGGGCUCGUCUGAACUCUCUUUUCAACCAGGCCCUGACUUUUGGGCUUCCGUCUUCCUCUCUGCAAUGUCCGAUUUUAGCAAGAACCCUGCGAGGUGAGUUUAGCCAGAAUCCCCCCACCCUUGAUGUUCCUCUGAGUAAUUUUCCAGCCGCUGACCCCGGCUCUGCUCCUUGGCUGUAAAUUUACUCUUCUUUGUUGUGUUCAGAAUUGAGCCCCAUCACUCUCCCCCACGACAAGACCCCAGUGUAGUGGUCCCCCUUGAAUAAAGUCUUCCUUACCAUCUUUUUUUUUUUUUAAAGAUUGGCACCUGAGCUAACAUCUGUGGCCAAUCUUCUUUUUUUUUCCUUUUCUUCUUCUACCCAAAGCCGCCCAAUUCAUAUAGUUGUAUAUUUUUAGUCGUGGGUCCUUCUAGUUGUGGCGUGUGGCGUGCUGCCUCAACAUGGCCUGAUGAGCAGUGCCAUGUCCGCGCCCAGGAUCCAAACCGGCAAAACCCUGGGCUGCCACAGCGGAGCGCGCGAACUUAACCACCUGGCCACAGGGCCGGCCCCUUCCUUACCAUCUUUAACAAGUGCCAUGAAUACUUUUUUCUUUAAUAGGCGUCAUGGGAGACCAUGUGCAGAGGGCUCACAGCAAGCACUCAAUAAAUGCUGGCAUCCCCCCUCAUCCUGUGGGCCAGCCACUAGACAUCAUCUGGGUUCUUCCUCCAGUUCUUCCGUGGAUGUGUUGUGUGGCCCUGGACAAAGUUACUGUUUUGUUUUCAGGGCCUUAGUCUCCCUUUAGCAAGGUGGGGUGGCUGGGCUCUGGCCCCUGAAUGGUGAGCACUGUGCAGGUAAGAGCUGGACUCCACUUUGCUCCAAAGACCGUCUGAGGCUGACGGAGACUCUGAGCCCAUCGCCACCAGAGGGCGCCCCUGCCCAGGAAAUCCACUCCUCCCCUUCACCACCUGUGGUGGGCCAGGGUGCCCAGAGCACAGAGGCCGGGGAAUUUCAGGCUGGCUGUUGGUCGCUUUUGCCUGUUGGUGGCUGGUGCUCUGGCACGGAGGAGGUCUGUUGAGGGUCGCCAAAUUCUGCUUUGGGAGGGUGAAGAAGCGUCAGCCUGGAUGCUGGAGCCGCUGGCCAGGGUUCAAUCCCAGCAGGCUGUGUGUAACCCUGCCUGCCUCAGUUUCCUCAUCUGUCACAUAGGAUUAUCACUGGAACUACUGCAUAGGGCUCUUGUGAAGAUCAAACAAAUUGACGAUGGUAGAGCACUUAGAAAAGUGGGUGCUGGAUAAUGUCAGCAAUUUUUAUGGACGCAGCCAGGCCCUGUAAUGGGAACUGAACAUUCUCAUACCAUUGGUUUCUCACAAUUACCCUGAGGAUGGAGGCUCCUAUUAAGGAAAUUGGAGCUUAGGGAAAACCAGCUAAAGGCCCCACCCUGGUGAGUAGAGGUCCCAGUGGGAUGUGAACCUGGAGAUUGGCUCCCAAAUGGGGUCAAGUCAUGUCAUGUUGCUCAGGCCUUUGCAACUCCCAAUGGAGGAUCCCUUGAGAACCUGCAGACACACUGCGGGCUGGGUGCUGGAGGCUGCCGUUUGUCCUGCAGCAAUGGACCCAGGGCCUUCUGGACCUCUGAGUUGUAGCUCUGGGCCAGGUCGUGUGGGGACCCGGGGAUGUUCUCAGGCUCUAGUUCCUGCUCUGGAACCACCCUGUAGCAUCAGCGCCAUCAAAGAGGGCCUGUGAUUCAGUGUGAGAGGAGGCAGAGAGCAGAUAGUAAACCACCAAGUGGCUGUUGGGGAUCACCCUUGCACGAGGCUUGGCUUAGGCCGGGGAACAUGGACGCCCCACUUAAGAGUCAUAGCUUUCCUCAACCUCUUCUGGUGGCGGUGGGGCAGGCUGGUCCCUCCCCUGGUUCCUGGGCCAGCCUGACCCCUGCUUAGGGCCAUGAAGACUAGUGAUAGCACCUCGCCCCUUGGCAGCCCGUUAUGGUUCUCCAGGUGCUUGUCAUGCUUCAGUGAGGUGAGUUUAACAAUCCCCACUUAACAGAUGAAGGAAAGGGCAGAGAGAGGUCAAAUUCAAGGCCACCCACCAAGUAAGUGUCAGACUUGAACCCAUGUCCUCACCCCACCAUGCUAUAAGAUUCUGCUUGGUGGCUUCAGCUCAACGAUGGCCUUCCUGGAAUCCCAGGUAAACGCCACGGUCCCUGACGUGUGCAAGGCUUACUUCUCCUCAGUGUCCAUGUUUGUGCCAUCCCUACCGUGUUAACCUCCUCUCUCAUUCAAAUCCUCUGCAUCCUUCAUGGGCCACUUGAAGUAUGUCCCUCCGUAUAUCCAGGAAACCCUCCCCCAGUAACCACAACAGCCACUGAUUUCCUUAGUCUGCAAGGAAGAUUCCCUCCUUGUCCGCCUGGAAAAGCUCCCAUUCAUUUUCUAAAACCCAGCCCCCGGCGUUCCCCGUGGGAAGGCUUCAUGCCACUCUCCUGGAUGGAGACAGUUAGAACCUUGCUGGGCUUUCUGUACAUUUGAG
ensembl:lncRNA